ensembl:lncRNA
GUCAGAUGUAAGAAAUGAACGUAGCCCUUCUGAUUUUGGUCAGUGGUUUUUUCCACAAAACCAUGACGACUUUGUAGCCACUGCUGAAUCUUUCCUCCCAUUCCUUGAGAAUAAUCCUUAAUAUAAGUAUAUUAUUCCACAGACCUCUAGACAAGCCACAUCCAGGGAAAGAGGGAACAUACUCAGGGUUCAAGGACACAGAGUAGGAGCCAGACAGUCAAGAACAGGAGGAAAACUACUUUGGAGGCUUUCAAAGCUUCCAGCUAUUUGAAGUUUUCAAACAUUCUGCAUCUCCAGGUGCUCCAUGUCCCACCCUUCGGCAUUCCAUCCAGAAUGCCACAACUAACAAGAAACCAGAUACUCAGCAACUGUGUGACCCUGAGCAAGUUACUUACUGCUGCCUCAAUUCCUCAUAUGCAAAAUGAGCUGAAGAAGGAAAUUGCAAACCAUUCCAGUAUCAUUGCCAAGAAAACCCCCAAAUGGGAUCACAAGGAAACAGAGACAAUGAAAUGACUGUACAAGAAAUAUACAACUUUUCUAAGAAUUCUACCACCUCUUAUAAAGCUCCAAAUUCUAAGGCAUACUUUCAAAUACAAUACCAGUGAUAUUUGUAAAGUGAUUUAAAUGCUCUGGUUUACAAUGUAUUACAAUAAUGGUAAUAAGAAAGUUAACAGCUGUUCAUAAUUAUGCCAAGGAUACAAUGUGAGAUGGAAAGCUUGAUUAUGUCUGAGUACUUGUGAUCAGGGUAAAAAAUAACCCAAGGGUCAAUUCCUUAGGACCAUAUAACAAAGCCAGUUAUUGUCUUUGUUUCUCUUAAUUAUCUGCAUAAUUUCCUCAGUUUCCAGUAUUUUCCAAGACAGACACAGCAUGUACAACAGAGAAGCUAAAGUAUCUUUUUACCACAAUACAGUGAUAAGGAUGUAUCUAGUACAAUAUAAGAAUUAAGCAUGUUACUAAGUCCUAUUACUAUACUUCAUCCUGAAACUUGAUUUCAAUAAGUAAGAAAAACAUUCAGAUGCUGACCUAUCUUUAGGGAAAAUCUUCAUGUUUUUGUACAUGUUUUUCUUACUCUUUUUGUUUUUCUUGUUCUUUUUUUAUUAUUGUUUUUCUUGUUCUUGUCCUUCUUGUUGUUUUUCUCCUUUUCCUCUUUCUCUUACUCCCUCUUCUUCUCACAAUAUUAGCUCAGGAGAAUCCUGAGGGGAAAGUCUUCAAGAAAAAAAAAUUCAAGCAUUUUCUUCUUUUUAUAGGAAUGUGAAAAAAAAAAGAAUUUUUAUAUGAAGUGGCCCUUCAAUGCCUGGGAAGAACAAAAAUGACUAUAAAAAGCAUUUCUAGAUAUGUUAUAAAUGUUCCUCUCUCCCCUUGUCUCUACCUGGAGAUUGUUUUCCUUAUGAUUUUAGUUGCAUGGAUUUUCCUCAUGCAAAGGUUUUAUAUUAAAAGGUAAUUUUAUUUAAUCUUUCUAUUUUUCUUUUAUAUCUAUUUCUUGUUUAAUUAAGAAUCCAUCUCUAACCACAAAUGUAAGUUACACCAUCUGAUUCUCAUCUUUUUUGUUUUUUCUUUUUCUUUUUAUGGUCUGCUUUGUAAUUUGGGGGCAGGUAUAAAAUGUUGGGCUAAGCCAAAUUUCAGCCAGGUUGCUUUCAAAUUUUGCCAGUAGUUAUUAUCCACUGUGGAAUUUUUCCUAAUUAAUUUAGUUUUCAAGACUUAUCAAACAUUGAGUUCAUUUUUUGUUCUGAUUUCUCUCUUUCUAAAUUGUUCUGUUGUUGAUUUAAAAAAAUUAAUAAGUACCAAAUAAUUUUGAUGACUGCUUUUUUUAUUACAUGGUUUGAGUUCUGGAAGUGUUAUUCAUUUUUCUUUCCAAUGUUUUUAUUAGUUUUCUUGAUAGUCUGUAUCAUUUUUUUUCUACCAAAUAAAUUUUGUUAUUAUUUUAU